UACCGCUUUGUCAGUGCCCAAUGUUUGAUCUCUCAAGCUAAGCAGGGUGGGGCCUGGUUAGUACUUGGAUGGGAGACCGCAGGGAAAACCAAGUG
rnacentral:rRNA from 1 species